GCCCCAAUAGUUUAGUGGUUAGAAUCCCUGCCUUGUAAGCAGGUGACCUCAGUUCGACUCUGAGUGGGGGCU
rnacentral:tRNA from 1 species